rnacentral:lncRNA from 1 species
CAAGUUCACCACCCGAACACUAAUUAUAGUGCAUCCCCUCACAUGUGACCCUAAUCACCCCUUUUGCCCUCCCCCCUCCCCCCUUCCCCAAUGGUAACCACCAGUCCAAUCUCCAAUGCUAUGUGUUUUUUUUUUUUGUCGUUUUUAUCUUCUACUUAUGAGUGAGAUCAUAUGGUAUUUGACUUUCUCCCUCUGACUUAUUUCACUCAGUGUAAUACCCUCAAGGUCCAUCCAUGUUGUCACAAAGUGCAUAAUUUCUUUAGCAUCUGCCUCUCCCACUGGACUACAAAUACCCGAAGGACUGUUUUGUACAAACAGCAUCUAUACAAAUAAGUGCUUAAAUUUUUGUAGAAUGAGCUAGCAGAUGAAUUAAUAAACAUAAAUAUUGCUGAAUUAAACAAAUGAAAUAUCAACCAAGGUUAAAUUCAAUCUUCGUUCAAAAAGAAUUUGUGAGCUCUGAGUCAACGGGAUAUUCUUAAGGCUGAGUCCAGCAGUCCUUCAGUAGGAGAGGCAGUGAACAUGCCUAGGGACUUACUAUCUUGGUUGUUUCCUGAAUUUUCCGGAUUCUUAAUACCUCUUCCAGAAUACGGUUUUCAGCACCUUGUUUCUUGACUCUGCUGUUUCAUGAUGGUUAACCUAACGCUUGAACAACAGACAGCUGCGUAGUACUUCCUGGUUUCGUCUCUGGCCUCCAGUCACAAGGAUAUGCCAAGUCCAUGAAAAGACCAGGAAGAUUAGCCCUGAGCUAACAUCUGCUGCCAAUCCUCCUCUCUUUGCUGAGGAAGACUGGUCCUGAGCCAACAUCCGUGCCCAUCUUCCUCUGCUUUAUAUGUGGGACGCCUGCCACAGUGUGGUUGACAAGCGGUGCCAUGUCUGCACCCAGGAUCCGAACUGGUGAACUCCGGGCCGCGAGAAGUGGAACAUGCGAACUUAACGGCUGCACCACUGGGCCGGCCCCAAUAGCAUGUUUUAUAAAAUGUUCUGAACCAUUUUUUUUCUAACUUUGUUUUAAAAUAAUUUUAAACUUACAGAAAAGCUACGAGAAUAGUAUGAGGAACUAUCAUAUACCUAAUGCCCAGAUUUACCUAUAGUUUAUAUUUUGUCCUAUUUGUUUUUUAUUUUUCUCUUCUUUCAUUUUUUUUAAUUGAGGUAUCCUUUCCAUACAUUAUAUUAGUUUCAU